ACCCAGAGUAGUAGCUCCUGGGCUGGGCUGGGGCCAAAGAGGCUGGGAUGGGCGGCGCGCCUUGCUCAGCUGGGAUCAACCAGGCAGAUUUCAGCUUCUGGGAGUGCCGACUUCAGGAGGCAAAGCCCCCUGCAGGAGAGCCUGAGAUGGGCCACCAGCAAAAGAAGGGAGAUGUGCAAGCAGCUGCUAGACCCACUGAAAGAAAGGAGAACGUUUCCCAACUUCAUUCAGAAUGAAAGAACAAGAAAUGCCAAGUGCAUCCCUGUCCUUCAAACAGAACCUUCAAAAAGAAUCUUGAGGGCCUUUGGAAUCAUAAGGCCUUGUUUGGAACUGCUGACACUCAGCAGGCCUGUAACUUUGGGCAAGUGACAGCAACAUUAUUGAAGUGUCACUUCGUCCCUUGUGAAAUGGAUAUAAUGAUUGCCUCCUCGUGGGGCUGUUGGGAAGACGCAGGGAAAGAAAGACUGAGCACAAGGGCAGGUACUGUGGCUUCUCCACAAAUGGUCGUUCUUAUCAGUGUGAGGGCAGACGUUCUUUUCCGUGAUCCAGAACAUCCUCGUUGUCAAAAAGAUGAGUGCGAGGUCACUUUUGAACAAAUGUUAAUGUUUUCUUCACCUCAGCAGCUUCUCACGUGGAUUUGAGAGACAGGCGUGUGUGAUGGCACAGGGCACAGGGCGGCCUUCCCUUCCAACAGGCCCGCUGCGAACGUGGGUUCUCAGGCCUCUUGCCUGAGUUGCCCUGUGCCUCCAAGUGGGAGGACUCCCACACCAGGAAACCGGACCAGACGACUCAAGAUGUCCAUUGCCAGCCUAGGGGCUGGGGGCGGCCCCAUGUUCAGCUGGGUCAAACCUCCCUCUGACACAAGGGAAAAUGUACCAAGUCAGUACCUUCCAGGUUCUGGGGAUCAGAGCAGGAAGAGCUGGUGUUUAAGUAGCAGAGAAGGCAAGAACACCAUACUCACUUCCUGGUUUGUUUGUUUUUUUUUUUUCUGGUUUUUCCACGGAGUGGCAGCCAGGGAAGCCACAGGGCCUGGGGAAUCCCGGCUCAGCUCUUCCUUCCCCACUCCCUUCUGCAACUCUAGUAAUUACAGGAACCAUUCCUUGAACACCUCAGGCCAUGUUCUGGGCUUCCCUUGUGCUCCUGACUUUCAUCCUCAGCUCCCCACCCACAUCCCCCCCCCCCCCACAUCUACUGCCACCUUUCCUGGCUAGGGAAACUCUACUCAGCUCCACUUUCUCUAAGGACUGAAGCAGGGUGCCCACCCCACAGAGAGGCUCACCCCCUCUCUCCGCCACUCUCCGCUUUUUUCAGAGGCUGCCUGUGGCCGCCUGUGCGCCGGGUGGGGAGAAAGGCAGAGACCCACGAUUCAGCUCUGAGCUCUUUGAUUAUAAUCCCUCUCAUACACAUGCCUUGGGUUUAUCCAACAUAUCAUUUUCAACCCUAGCAGCUUCUCUCCAGCAAAGAAAGGCAAACCUCUGAAUCUGUGUCUCCACAGAACUGGAGAACAUCAGAUUGAGAUGCAGGAAACAUCUGGGAACAUCUGGACCAGGCUCUCGCUUUAGAAAUGGGGAAACUGAGGCCAGUGGAGUAGAGGCUUUCACACACAACCCUGUGAUGGUUCUACUUACUGGAGAGACACGUGAGCAUAAGCUGCUGCCAGAAAGAAUUAAAAAUAAUGGUGAUGAGGACAACGAUGGUAACUUCUACUGGAGGGACAAGCAAGUUCCUAGUGCUUUGCUUUGCAUACAUCAACACGUGUGUUUCAUAGCUGGGCAGGAUAGAUCUUGGCCUGACCUUUUAGUCAGGGCCAAGUUGGCCUCGCAUGGGUGCUAAGAAGUCUCCUCUGUGUUGGUAUCUUCUCAUUUCUCUCUAGACUUCUGUUUGUACUCCUCUCCCCACUGGGUACCCACCGCCUACAGGCAUCAGUAAGGCCUUUUCUGCCCUGGACCCUCACCUUCAGAGUGAAUGGCUUCUCGUUCUUGACAAUAUGGACCCCCUCUCAUGGUGGAAGUUGGAUGUAUCCUUUUGCCAGAAGACCUACCUCCCCCCACCCAGGAGUGAGGGUGGGGGAAACAAAGGCCACACACAGGCUACACGCUGGGCGAGUGAUAGAACUGGAAUCCAAAUCCAGCUGGGAGAUGGCACAGAUGGAACGAGAACUGAGAUUUCACUCCAAGGCCACCAUCUCCCGCGUGGGACCGACAGCGUGCCAGCCCAGAAGGCAUGGGGCCGCUGGGAAGUUGUCGAAGGCUCUCGUGCAGGAGACUGACACUGUUGGAGCCGGCUCAAGAAGAAGUUUCCACGGAAGGGGACAAGGGCCCGCUGGCCCCACAGCCCGUGCCUGCCAGGGAUUUAGCAGGAAGAGCUGGCUUUUGUUCUAGAUGAAUCGGCCCAGCUGUUUCUGAAAGCCCAGCCCCACUCUUCUGGGCUCAGCGGACCAGAAGGCAUUCAGCUGUCCCCGCAGGUCACCAGUGGGGUGGGAGAGUGCAGUACUUUGUCCACUGGACUGCACCGUUUACAGAGAAUUAUAUUAUCACAACACGGAACAAUGGGCUUUUUUUUUUUUUUUUAAUAAUGUUGUGCUGCAUCUUGGGUAGCAAGUGGUAGUGGAAACACAAUCAGGACAGCAAAGCGUUGCCCUCUUUGGAAUUUGGAGAAACAAAAAUAUAAAUAAACACAUACAUACAUA